AGGUUGCUCAGAACCAUCGCGAGGGUGCUCAGCACCAUCCCGAGGGUGCAGGAUUAGUCCCGAGGGUGAUGAGCACCAUCCCGAGGGUGCUCAGCACCAUCCCGAGGGUGCAGGAUUAGUCCCGAGGGUGCUCAGCACCAUCCCGAGGGUGCAGGAUGAAUCCCGAGGGUGCUCAGCACCAUCCCGAGGGUGCUCAGCACCAUCCCGAGGGUGCAGGAUGAGUGCCGAGGGUGCUCAGCACCAUCCCGAGGGUGCAGGAUGAAUCCCGAGGGUGCUCAGCACCAUCCCGAGAGUGCAGGAUGAGUGCCGAGGGUGCUCAGCACCAUCCCGAAGGUGCUCAGCACCAUCCCGAGGGUGCAGGAUGAGUGCCGAGGGUGCUCAGCACCAUCCCGAGGGUGCUCAGCACCAUCCCGAGGGUGCAGGAUUAGUCCCGAGGGUGCUCAGCACCAUCCCUAGGGUGCUCAGCACCGUUCCGAGGGUGCAGGAUGAAUCCCGAGGGUGCUCAGCACCAUCCCGAGGGUGCUUAGCACCGUCCCGAGGGUGCAGGAUGAAUCCCGAGGGUGCUCAGCACCAUCCCGAGGGUGCUCAGCACCAUCCCGAGGGUGCAGGAUGAAUCCCGAGGGUGCUCAGCACCAUCCCGAGGGUGCUCAGCACCAUCCCGAGGGUGCAGGAUGAGUGCCGAGGGUGCUCAGCACCAUCCCGAAGGUGCUCAGCACCAUCCCGAGGGUGCAGGAUGAGUGCCGAGGGUGCUCAGCACCAUCCCGAGGGUGCUCAGCACCAUCCCGAGGGUGCAGGAUUAGUCCCGAGGGUGCUCAGCACCAUCCCGAGGGUGCUCAGCACCGUUCCGAGGGUGCAGGAUGAAUCCCGAGGGUGCUCAGCACCAUCCCGAGGGUGCUCAGCACCAUCCCGAGGGUGCAGGAUGAAUCCCGAGGGUGCUCAGCACCAUCCCGAGGGUGCUCAGCACCAUCCCGAGGGUGCAGGAUGAGUGCCGAGGGUGCUCAGCACCAUCCCGAGGGUGCUCAGCACCAUCCCGAGGGUGCAGGAUGAAUCCCGAGGGUGCUCAGCACCGUCCCGAGGGUGCUUAGCACCGUCCCGAGGGUGCAGGAUGAGUGCCGAGGGUGCUGAGCUCCCAUGGGCCGCAGCCUCAAAGCUUCCGCCAAUCCCGGCCUGCCUUGCUCCGCUCUGGCCAAUCACAGCAGCCCUUUGAAUCCGGGCGCGGUCCCGCCAAGCUCUGCCCGCUCUGUCGCGGCCCGGCCCCUCAGCCAGGCCGGCCCCGCUCCCCCGUUCUGCUGAGGCGCCGCUGCGGCCGCUGUCGCUUUGGGAUCCGGCGGAGCCGUGCUGCCGCAGCCCCGGCAGCCCUGGGCUGCAGUGAGAAGCAGGAGCAGCUUUUAGCCACCGGCAGUGGGAAGCUGAGGAGCUGGAACUGAGGAAGCAGAGCUGGAGGAGACACAAAUAUGGGCCAAAUACAAGUGGCAAAACAACAUUGGCAUGCAUCUCCUGGAGGAGAGGAGUUUCUGGUGGGCUCCCAGUGACAUCUCAUGGAGUGACGGUGAGAGCAUCUCAUAGGGUCUGGGGGAGCACCUGGAUGCACUUGGACCCGGAGCACCGCUUAAAGGAGGUGGUGAGGGACAAAGCUUUUUGCCAGGAAGCAGCACCUGAACAGCUGAGCCGGUGUGGAUUUGCAGGGGUGAUCUUUCUCCUUUUCCCUUUUGAUUUCACUUUGGCAGUCCCUCCCCGGUGCCCUCAAUCUGUCACAAGAAUUCCAAGAAAAAAAAAGGCUGAGCAAACAGUGAAAAGAAGGGGUAUAGGUAAGGUGGAGUUCAGGUGUACCCCACCCCAAACCCUAAACAGCAGCCCUAACAGUGCUCCCGUUUCCCUGAGACAGCUGCAGGCAGGAACCCUAAAGCAGCAGAGUGCCAGAACCCCUGGUACUGCAGACAGUACCCCUGGUGCUAGGGUCAGCCAGGAGAUAGUGGGGGGACGAUCCGUAGGGUUGGGGAAACAGGGGGUUUCCCGCCCCGCCCCACCCUGGGCUCUCGGUCCCUCCGC